CUUUCUUUGCUGGCGACCGGCGCACGGGUGAGUAACACGUAUCCAACCUGCCCUUUACUCGGGAUAGCCUUUCGAAAGAAAGAUUAAUACCCGAUAGCAUAAUGAUUCCGCAUGGUUUCAUUAUUAAAGGAUUCCGGUAAAGGAUGGGGAUGCGUUCCAUUAGGUUGUUGGUGAGGUAACGGCCCACCAAGCCUUCGAUGGAUAGGGGUUCUGAGAGGAAGGUCCCCCACAUUGGAACUGAGACACGGUCCAA
rnacentral:rRNA from 1 species